AGUGGUAACUAGAUCCCAUUGUUACCAUGGCAACACCUACCUGCAGUUAACUUCCGGAGCUCAUUCUUAAUGAAAACGUGUGAAAACGUUAGACUAAUUUCACCAAUUUGGUGAAACAGCGUCUGUUGUUGACUGCGACAGCCAUCUGCCAUCUGAGGGAAGCUGUCAUAGCAUGACUGACACUACAAUCAAGGUUUCCCUCAUUUUUCCAAAUGGGGACAAGUACGAGGGCGAGUGUCGCAAGUCUGAAUCUGGAGAGCUGGUGAGAAGUGGCACAGGAAAACACACUUCAGCCAGUGGCAUCAUAUACACAGGAGAGUGGCAAGAGGACAAAAUGCUGGGCAGAGGGACCCUGCAGUUUCCCUCUGGGGCCAUGUAUGAAGGAGAGUUCAAAGACAACGCGUACAACGGCUCUGGAACGUACACAUUUCCGGACGGCUCUAUGUAUAAGGGCCAAUUUUAUAAUGACAGGCUGGAGGGAGAGGGUACCUUUACAGACACACGAGGCCUGAAGUGGACUGGAGACUUCCACGGUGAAGCAGCGCUUGGUCUCAAACUGAUGCACAAUCUCUAGACAAAAAAAAAAAACAGACUAAAGAAUCCAUGUGCUAAAGCUAAACUGCAUUAGGAAAACAAUAACACUGAAAGUUGAUUAAACGUUCAAAUUAUAAACAGUCUGCCUCCGAUUGGCUGAUCAGGACCUGUUGACGGCUCCUUCCCACGGUAGCUCCCAGCUCUUGAAGCUGAAUUUGGACACGUAAGCCUCUUUCAGAGAACAGUUGCAGGCAGGGUUAAGGCACCUUUGAAAUGACAGAUGUGGCAAGGGGCGUUUAUUUGCUUCAUGGGUUUAGAAAUGACAUAGUGAAGGAUUUAACAAGUCAUAAUUUCCAAUGAGUAGAGUAAGAAGCCAAGAUAUACAAUUUCUAAUUUAUUUUGCAUCACGUUGACUUUGGCGCUACAUUAUUUCAGAUUGAUUAACAUUUUGGAUUAUUUCCUUACAAGGAUGAAGAAAUUAGUAGGAAUGAUGCAAAGUUUAUAAUGAAUUUUGUUUUUAAAACACAGAGGUUGUUUUGGAAACACUCCUGGGGACAGAAUUUAAAACCCUUGGAAGUCAGCCUGCACCUCACUACGAAUAUAUUCUCACUUUCCUGUGUAAAAGAAGCUCGUGUGGUGAGGUCGCCAAACUGGCUCUCGCCCGGGGAGCCACAUUUUUCUAAAUCCGGCCCUGCUCCUGACACGCACCGCAUGAACGUUUGAAACUGCCGCCAUGAGGCAAACACUGCCGCAACAAGAAAGCAGAACUACUAAUCUGCUGCAUGGCUUCCUGCCUCAAGAUGUUAUAAUGUUUUUUUUUUUUAAUUAUUAUUCUGUGUAUUUUUAUUUUAUCUACUUAAUUUUUCACACUGGUCUGUCUGAAAUCCCACAUAAAUUCUUUCUCGAUUUGUUAUAAACUAAAAUUAUAUAAUGAAAUGCCAGUUAAUUAAUUUGAUUAAGCCAAAGAGCAAGGAACCAUGAGCAGAACAUCUCCAGUUCAGCGGGCAGAUAUCUGAAAUUAGCGCUUCAUGUCUGUAGCUUAGAGUCACUUUCUGUGCUUCAACUCAGCAAGUGCCUGCCUGCGUCAGCUUCAUUUAACACAUUACAUUAUCGGACGGGUUCCGCUUUGGGCGCGUCGGCUGUUUGUAACUACUUCACUUCCAACUCUUAGUCCAGGAAUAUUAAUGGAAAGUGGGGGAAGUCAGUUCUCUAUUCUCUUAUUUACUCCCGAAUCCCGCCUGGACGUGUUUCACCUGACCUCCAGUAUGCACAAAUGUACUUGGCUUAACGCACAAAGUAUGCUUAAAAAUCAGAUCAGAAGCUAAUAAAGUUUUUAGACAGGGUUUAAUAGGUAACUCUGAUAAUGUAAUUUAUCACUCUGUUGUAUAAUGCCUCUGUGGAUCUGUAAUUGCACAUGCCCCUGAAUAAAUUCAGUAAAGAGAAGUAACUCCAUCCAGAAUAUACAGACAUGGAAGAGUAAUACAAACACACAUAGAUACUGUACCGACGUCCACAGAAUCCUACACACCUCAUGUAAAACACUGUACAAGAUACAAGACACAGCUAUUGUUUUUUGAUUGUACAGUUAAAAGGUAGAAAAUAAAACAACUGUAUUGCAAACCUCCAGUGGUGAUUUCAAUGCAAAAGUGUCAACAUAAUUAACAAAUAGGAGAUGGCACUCAAAUUUGGCACAAGAUAUAUAUAUAUAUAUAUAUAUAUAUAUAUAUAUAUAUAUAUAUAUAUAUAUAUAUA